rnacentral:rRNA from 1 species
GACGAACGCUGGCGGCGUGCUUAACACAUGCAAGUCGAACGGAAAGGCCCUGCUUUUGUGGGGUGCUCGAGUGGCGAACGGGUGAGUAACACGUGAGUAACCUGCCCUUGACUUUGGGAUAACUUCAGGAAACUGGGGCUAAUACCGGAUAGGAGCUCCUGCUGCAUGGUGGGGGUUGGAAAGUUUCGGCGGUUGGGGAUGGACUCGCGGUUUAUCAGCUUGUUGGUGGGGUAGUGGCUUACCAAGGCUUUGGCGGGUAGCCGGCCUGAGAGGGUGACCGGCCACAUUGGGACUGAGAUACGGCCCAGACUCCUACGGGAGGCAGCAGUGGGGAAUAUUGCACAAUGGGCGGAAGCCUGAUGCAGCAACGCCGCGUGCGGGAUGACGGCCUUCGGGUUGUAAACCGCUUUCGCCUGUGACGAAGCGUGAGUGACGGUAAUGGGUAAAGAAGCACCGGCUAACUACGUG